AGAGUUUGAUCAUGGCUCAGAACGAACGCUGGCGGCGUGGAUAAGACAUGCAAGUCGAACGGAUCUUUUGGUGUAGCAAUACAUCGGAGGGUUAGUGGCGCAAGGGUGAGUAACACGUGGGCAACCUGCCCGGAAAUGGGGGAUAGCCCGCCGAAAGGGAAUUAAUACCGCAUAUGACAAGAGAUGGCAUCAUCUUGAAGUCAAAGUUGGUGCAAGCUAACGUUUCCGGAUGGGCCUGCGGCCUAUCAGCUAGUUGGUGAGGUAAUGGCUCACCAAGGCAACGACGGGUAGCCGGCCUGAGAGGGCGACCGGCCACACUGGGACUGAGACACGGCCCAGACUCCUACGGGAGGCAGCAGUGGGGAAUAUUGGGCAAUGGAGGAAACUCUGACCCAGCGACGCCGCGU
rnacentral:rRNA from 1 species